GCCCAUGUGGUCAAAUGGUUAGGAUUCCUGGCUUUCACCUAGAGGGCCCAGGUUCGAUUCCCAGCAUGGAAA
rnacentral:tRNA from 1 species